rnacentral:rRNA from 1 species
UGGGGAAUAUUGCACAAUGGGCGCAAGCCUGAUGCAGCCAUGCCGCGUGUGUGAAGAAGGCCUUCGGGUUGUAAAGCACUUUCAGCGGGGAGGAAGGCGGUGAGGUUAAUAACCUCAUCGAUUGCCGUUACCCGCAGAAGAAGCACCGGCUAACUCCGUGCCAGCAGCCGCGGUAAUACGGAGGGUGCAAGCGUUAAUCGGAAUUACUGGGCGUAAAGCGCACGCAGGCGGUCGGUCAAGUCGGAUGUGAAAUCCCCGGGCUCAACCUGGGAACUGCAUUCGAAACUGGCAGGCUAGAGAAUUGUAGAGGGGGGUAGAAUUCCAGGUGUAGAGGUGAAAUGCGUAGAGAUCUGGAGGAAGACCGGUGGCGAAGGCGGCCCACUGGACAAAGACUGACGCUCAGGUGCGAAAGCGUGGGGAGCAAACAGG